GGGAAUCUGCCCUUGGGUUCGGAAUAACAGUUGGAAACGACUGCUAAUACCGGAUGAUGACGUAAGUCCAAAGAUUUAUCGCCCAAGGAUGAGCCCGCGUAGGAUUAGGUAGUUGGUGAGGUAAAGGCUCACCAAGCCUACGAUCCUUAGCUGGUCUGAGAGGAUGAUCAGCCACACUGGGACUGAGACACGGCCCAGACUCCUACGGGAGGCAGCAGUAGGGAAUAUUGGACAAUGGGGGCAACCCUGAUCCAGCAAUGCCGCGUGAGCGAUGAAGGCCUUAGGGUUGUAAAGCUCUUUUACCCGGGAUGAUAAUGACAGUACCGGGAGAAUAAGCCCCGGCUAACUCCGUGCCAGCAGCCGCGGUAAUACGGAGGGGGCUAGCGUUGUUCGGAAUUACUGGGCGUAAAGCGCACGUAGGCGGCUAUUCAAGUCAGAGGUGAAAGUCCGGGGCUCAACCCCGGAACUGCCUUUGAAACUAGAUAGCUUGAAUCACGGAGAGGUGGGUGGAAUUCCGAGU
rnacentral:rRNA from 1 species